UACGAAGGGGGCUAGCGUUGCUCGGAAUUACUGGGCGUAAAGGACGCGUAGGCGGACAUUUAAGUUAGAGGUGAAAGCCCAGGGCUCAACCCUGGAAUAGCCUUUAAUACUGGAUGUCUUGAGUUCGGGAGAGGUGAGUGGAAUGCCGAGUGUAGAGGUGAAAUUCGUAGAUAUUCGGCGGAACACCAGUGGCGAAGGCGACUCACUGGCCCGAUACUGACGCUGAGGCGCGAAAGCGUGGGGAGCAAGCAGG
rnacentral:rRNA from 1 species